AUUGAACGCUGGCGGCAGGCCUAACACAUGCAAGUCGAGCGGCAGCGGGAAAGUAGCUUGCUACUUUUGCCGGCGAGCGGCGGACGGGUGAGUAAUGCCUGGGGAUCUGCCCAGUCGAGGGGGAUAACUACUGGAAACGGUAGCUAAUACCGCAUACGCCCUACGGGGGAAAGCAGGGGACCUUCGGGCCUUGCGCGAUUGGAUGAACCCAGGUGGGAUUAGGUAGUUGGUGAGGUAAUGGCUCACCAAGGCGACGAUCCCUAGCUGGUAUGAGAGGAUGAUGAGCCACACUGGAACUGAGACACGGUCCAGACUCCUACGGGAGGCAGCAGUGGGGAAUAUUGCACAAUGGGGGAAACCCUGAUGCAGCCAUGCCGCGUGUGUGAAGAAGGCCUUCGGGUUGUAAAGCACUUUCAGCGAGGAGGAAAGGUUGGUAGCUAAUAACUGCCAGCUGUGACGUUACUCGCAGAAGAUGCACCGGCUAACUCCGUGCCAGCCGCCGCAGUAACAC
rnacentral:rRNA from 1 species